rnacentral:misc_RNA from 1 species
GAUGAAGAACGUAGCGAAAUGCGAUAAGUAAUGUGAAUUGCAGAAUUCCGUGAAUCAUCGAAUCUUUGAACGCACAUUGCGCCCCUUGGUAUUCCAUGGGGCAUGCCUGUUCGAGCGUCAUUUGUACCUUCAAGCUCUGCUUGGUGUUGGGUGUUUGUCUCGCCUCUGCGUGUAGACUCGCCUUAAAACAAUUGGCAGCCGGCGUAUUGAUUUCGGAGCGCAGUACAUCUCGCGCUUUGCACUCAUAACGACGACGUCCAAAAGUACAUUUUUACACUCUUGACCUCGGAUCAGGUAGGGAUACCCGCUGAACUUAAGCAUAUCAAUAAGCGGAGGA